rnacentral:rRNA from 1 species
CGUGUAGGCGGUCUUGUCGGUCAGAUGUGAAAGCCCGGGGCUCAACCCUGGAAGUGCAUUUGAAACAGCAAGACUUGAAUACUGGAGAGGAGAGCGGAAUUCCUGGUGUAGAGGUGAAAUUCGUAGAUAUCAGGAGGAACACCGAUGGCGAAGGCAGCUCUCUGGACAGAUAUUGACGCUGAGGCGCGAAGGUGUGGGUAGCGAACAGGAUUAGAUACCCUGGUAGUCC